CCUACUGGAGGCAGCAGUGAGGAAUAUUGGUCAAUGGGCGCGAGCCUGAUCCAGCCAAGUAGCGUGAAGGAUGACUGCCCUACGGGUUGUAAACUUCUUUUAUAAAGGAAUAACGUAAGGCACGUGUGCCUUUUUGUCUGUACUUUAUGAAUACGGAUCGGCUAACUCCGUGCCAGCAGCCGUGGUAAUACGGAGGUUCCGAGCGUUAUCAGGAUUUAUUGGGUUUAAAGGGAGCGUAGAUGGGUUGUUAAGUCAGUUGUGAAAGUGUGCGGCUCAACCGUAUAAUUGCAAUUGAUACUGGCAGCCUUGAGUACAGUUGGGGUAGGCGGAAUUCGUGGUGUAGCGGUGAAAUGCUUAGAUAUCACGAAGAACUCCGAUUGCGAAGGCAGCUUACUAAACUGCCACUGACAUUGAUGCUCGAAAGUGUGGGUAUCAAACAGGAUUAGAUACCCUGGUAGUC
rnacentral:rRNA from 1 species